GACCGACACCCAGACCCGACGAUGAGGAGCCCGGGGCGGCCGCGACGCCUAAUUCCAUCCGCUCUUCCAUCGAAGACAUGCGAAUGAGUGACGGGGGAUAUUUGGGCUGACCGAGCACAGGAUCCGCUGAUUGUCAAGAUCUCACCCUCAGACACAUUAUCCCAGUAUGGGGACAGAAAGUGGACUUCUCCUUUCUGGAUGAGACGGAAUAGUUCCUCUUGAUUACGAUCUGGACUUCGGAAUGGAGGAAACCCACCCAGCAGCACAAACAUAGGUUUUCAGGUUUGAUGUCUCGGUGUGCGAUGCUCUUGCUGUGGAUGUAUUCCAGAGCCUGACUGAUGUCUCUGAUCAUGCAUGCAGCACUUGGCUCAGUAAACCUGCCACUCUGAGUGAUAGCAUCAAACAAGUCUCCACCGGCCACCAGCUCCAUCAGCAGCUUUGCGUUGUCCACAAUCUUCAUAGCGAAAGUUUCAGCCAGGCCUCUCACACGGCACUCCCUGACCACUGCAAAGUUCCCGUCUCCUACCACCCGCCCCAUGUCAUAGCAGUGCUCAAUGUCCUCCAGUGACACUUCGGCACCAUCAGGUAAGGACAUCUCGGCUCCGGCGUCAUCAUCAUGGAAACCACUAUCUGCCUUAGUGGCCUUGGGUCUCAGGAUACGCUCCCAUACACUCAGCAGAUGUUCGCAAUGGCCGGGGUUUUCCGGAUAUAACUCAUCUAGU